UGACGGGCUAGUCCGGGUAGGCCGGCGUUACCUGUAACCCGAAAUCGCCGAUACGCGGGGGACGAAGCCAAUAGGAGAUGUUUGGAUCAUUUCCAAACCUGUGAUCUCAACUGAGAAACCCCGUCCUGCUUGGACGGUGUUGAUAUGAGGGCUUGUUGGAGAACCUGUUUUCAUAUCUUUACCGCGGGAACCAGUCCAGGCCCGGAAGGGAGCAGACCGACCGUGGGCAGCCGUCGCUUGUAGGGCUGCGGGGUGGAGAAGAGGUCACAGACCAUUUGGAAAUGGGAAAAACAACGACUCAAGGCAUGCCCGUCA
rfam:Methanolobus sp. T82-4 scaffold_322, whole genome shotgun sequence.